rnacentral:rRNA from 1 species
CUUGGGGGGCAUGCCCUUAACAUGCAGUCGAACGGCAGCACGGGAGCAAUCCUGGUGGCGAGUGGCGAACGGGUGAGUAAUAUAUCGGAACGUGCCCAGUCGUGGGGGAUAACGUAGCGAAAGCUACGCUAAUACCGCAUACGAUCUACGGAUGAAAGCGGGGGACUCGUAAUGGCCUCGCGCGAUUGGAGCGGCCGAUAUCAGAUUAGGUUGUUGGUGAGGUAAAAGCUCACCAAGCCUGCGAUCUGUAGCUGGUCUGAGAGGACGACCAGCCACACUGGAACUGAGACACGGUCCAGACUCCUACGGGAGGCAGCAGUGGGGAAUUUUGGACAAUGGACGCAAGUCUGAUCCAGCAAUGCCGCGUGCAGGACGAAGGCCUUCGGGUUGUAAACUGCUUUUGUACGGAACGAAAAGGUCUGCUUUAAUACAGUGGGCUCAUGACGGUACCGUAAGAAUAAGCACCGGCUAACUACGUGCCAGCAGCCGCGGUAAUACGUAGGGUGCGAGCGUUAAUCGGAAUUACUGGGCGUAAAGCGUGCGCAGGCGGUUAUAUAAGUCAGAUGUGAAAUCCCCGGGCUCAACCUGGGACCUGCAUUUGAGACUGUAUAGCUAGAGUACGGUAGAGGGGGGAUGGAAUUCCGCGUGUA